rnacentral:tmRNA from 2 species
GCCGGCUUUCGGGCCGGCUAUGGCGAUAAAUGAGCGGUGUAAUAAACCUAUUGGACCCGGGGGCGGUACCCGGCGCCUCCACCA